AGUGAACGCUGCGGCGUGCCUAAUACAUGCAAGUCGAACGGAAUUUAAAAGAGCUUGCUCUUUUGAAUUUAGUGGCGCACGGGUGAGUAAUAUAUAGCUAAUCUGCCCCUUGCUGGAGGACAACAGUUAGAAAUGACUGCUAAUACUCCAUACUCCUUUUUACCAUAAGAAAAAUCGGGAAAGAAUUUCGGCAAGGGAUGAGACUAUAUCGUAUCAGCUAGUCGGUGGGGUAACGGCCUACCGAGGCUAUGACGCGUAACUGGUCUGAGAGGAUGAUCAGUCACAUUGGAACUGAGACACGGUCCAAACUCCUACGGGAGGCAGCAGUAGGGAAUAUUGCGCAAUGGGGGAAACCCUGACGCAGCAACGCCGCGUGGAGGAUGACACUUUUCGGAGCGUAAACUCCUUUUGUUAGGGAAGAAUAAUGACGGUACCUAACGAAUAAGCACCGGCUAA
rnacentral:rRNA from 1 species